UGGCGAGUGGCGGACGGGUGAGGAAUACAUCGGAAUCUACUCUUUCGUGGGGGAUAACGUAGGGAAACUUACGCUAAUACCGCAUACGACCUACGGGUGAAAGCGGAGGACCUUCGGGCUUCGCUCGAUUGAAUGAGCCGAUGUCGGAUUAGCUAGUUGGCGGGGUAAAGGCCCACCAAGGCGACGAUCCGUAGCUGGUCUGAGAGGAUGGUCAGCCACACUGGAACUGAGACACGGUCCAG
rnacentral:rRNA from 1 species